GACGAACGCUGGCGGCGUGCUUAACACAUGCGAGUCGAACGGAAAGGCCCUGCUUUUGUGGGGUGCUCGAGUGGCGAACGGGUGAGUAACACGUGAGUAACCUGCCCUUGACUUUGGGAUAACUUCAGGAAACUGGGGCUAAUACCGGAUAGGAGCUCCUGCUGCAUGGUGGGGGUUGGAAAGUUUCGGCGGUUGGGGAUGGACUCGCGGCUUAUCAGCUUGUUGGUGGGGUAGUGGCUUACCAAGGCUUUGACGGGUAGCCGGCCUGAGAGGGUGACCGGCCACAUUGGGACUGAGAUACGGCCCAGACUGCUACGGGAGGCAGCAGUGGGGAAUAUUGCACAAUGGGCGGAAGCCUGAUGCAGAAACGCCGCGUGCGGGAUGACGGCCUUCGGGUUGUAAACCGCUUUCGCCUGUGACGAAGCGUGAGUGACGGUAAUGGGUAAAGAAGCACCGGCUAACUACGUG
rnacentral:rRNA from 1 species